CCCUUCAGCUUUGGUCCCUCGGGGCGUCUGGGCAGCCUACGCUUUCCGGAUAAAAAUGGCAGAAUGAAAGAAUUAUGAGUGGAACUAGAGAAUAGGAAAGACAUGAACCAACGCCCAAAAUGAGAAAGAAGGACAUAUAAAGAAAAAGACAAAUACAAGUGAAAAAAAUAGACUAAUGGAUUAACGUCCCUGUCGUGUGACAUUUUCUGGUAUGACAGCUGAAGAUGUUGAACCGUAUGGUGCAGUUUUGCAAAUAGUACUAUGGAAAUGAUAUUAGACAAAAAGCAACUUCAAGUGGUUUUCUUAUUUGAGUUCAAAAUGGGUCAUAACGCAGCAGAGAUAACUUGAAACAUGAACAGCGCAUUUGGCCCAGGAACUACUAACGAACAUACAGGGCAGCUGUGAUUCAAGAAGUUUUGCAAAGCAGACUAGAGCCUUGAAUAUGAGGAACACAGUGGCCAGCCAUUGGAUGCUUCACUUCUUGAAGCAUCUUGACAGCUUUUUGCAGGUGAAAUGCUUCCACACCAGCAGGAUGCAGAAAAAUGCUUUCCAAGAGUUUGUUGAAUCCAGAAGCAUGGAUGUUUAUGCUGCAGGAAUAAACAAAUUUAUUUCUCGUUGGCAAAAAA
rnacentral:lncRNA from 1 species